rnacentral:rRNA from 1 species
CCCAGACAGCCAGGAUGUUGGCUUAGAAGCAGCCAUCAUUUAAAGAAAGCGUAAUAGCUCACUGGUCGAGUCGGCCUGCGCGGAAGAUGUAACGGGGCUAAACCAUGCACCGAAGCUGCGGCAGCGACACUGAUGUGUUGUUGGGUAGGGGAGCGUUCUGUAAGCCUGUGAAGGUGGCCUGUGAGGGUUGCUGGAGGUAUCAGAAGUGCGAAUGCUGACAUAAGUAACGAUAAAGCGGGUGAAAAGCCCGCUCGCCGGAAGACCAAGGGUUCCUGUCCAACGUUAAUCGGGGCAGGGUGAGUCGACCCCUAAGGCGAGGCCGAAAGGCGUAGUCGAUGGGAAACGGGUUAAUAUUCCCGUACUUGGUGUUACUGCGAAGGGGGGACGGAGAAGGCUAUGUUGGCCGGGCGACGGUUGUCCCGGUUUAAGCGUGUAGGCUGGUUUUCCAGGCAAAUCCGGAAAAUCAAGGCUGAGGCGUGACGACGAGGCACUACGGUGCUGAAGCAACAAAUGCCCUGCUUCCAGGAAAAGCCUCUAAGCAUCAGGUAACAUCAAAUCGUACCCCAAACCGACACAGGUGGUCAGGUAGAGAAUACCAAGGCGCUUGA